UAGUCCACGCUGUAAACGAUGUCGAUUUGGAGCUUGUUGCCUAGAGUGAUGGGCUCCGAAGCUAACGCGAUAAAUCGACCGCUGGGGAGUACGGCCGCAAGGUUAAAACUCAAAUGAAUUGACGGGGGCCCGCACAAGCGGUGGAGCAUGUGGUUUAAUUCGAUGCAACGCGAAGAACCUUACCUGGUCUUGACAUCCAUAGAAUUCUGCAGAGAUGUGGGAGUGCCUUCGGGAACUAUGAGACAGGUGCUGCAUGGCUGUCGUCAGCUCGUGUUGUGAAAUGUUGGGUUAAGUCCCGCAACGAGCGCAACCCUUAUUCUUUGUUGCCAGCGAUUUGGUCGGGAACUCAAAGGAGACUGCCGUUGAUAAAGCGGAGGAAGGUGGGGACGACGUCAAGUCAUCAUGGCCCUUACGACCAGGGCUACACACGUGCUACAGUGGCGUAUACAAAGGGAAGCGAAGGUGCGAGCUGGAGCGGAUCUCAUAAAGUACGUCUAAGUUCGGAUUGGAGUCUGCAACUCGACUCCAUGAAGUCGGAAUCGCUAGUAAUCGUAGAUCAGAAUACUACGGUGAAUACGUUCCCGGGCCUUGUACACACCGCCCGUCACACCAUGGGAGUGGGUUGCACCAGAAGUAGAUAGCUUAACCGCGAGGGGGGCGUUUACCACGGUGUGAUUCAUGACUGGGGUGAAGUCGUAACAAGGUAACCA
rnacentral:rRNA from 1 species